rnacentral:rRNA from 1 species
UACGGAGGAGGCAAGCGUUAUCCGGAAUUAUUGGGCGUAAAGCGUCCGUAGGUGGUUUAGUAAGUCUGCUGUUAAAGCGCGGGGCUUAACUCCGUAUCGGCAGUGGAAACUACUAGACUAGAGUGUGGUAGGGGUAGAGGGAAUUCCCAGUGUAGCGGUGAAAUGCGUAGAUAUUGGGAAGAACACCGAUGGCGAAGGCGCUCUACUGGGCCAUAACUGACACUGAGGGACGAAAGCUAGGGGAGCGAAUGGG